UCGAGUGUAGCUCAGUGGUAGAGCACUUGUCUAGAAUACAAGAGGCUCUGGGUUUGAUAUUCAGCAUUGAAA
rfam:Dipodomys ordii contig_67028, whole genome shotgun sequence.